AACGAACGCUGGCGGCAUGCCUAACACAUGCAAGUCGAACGAGAUCUUCGGGUCUAGUGGCGCACGGGUGCGUAACGCGUGGGAAUCUGCCCUUUGGUUCGGAAUAACAGUGGGAAACGACUGCUAAUACCGGAUGAUGACGAAAGUCCAAAGAUUUAUCGCCAGAGGAUGAGCCCGCGUAGGAUUAGCUAGUGGGUGUGGGAAAGGCGCACCAAGGCGACGAUCCUUAGCUGGUCUGAGAGGAUGAUCAGCCACACGGGGACUGAGACACGGCCCAGACUCCUACGGGAGGCAGCAGUGGGGAAUAUUGGACAAUGGGCGAAAGCCUGAUCCAGCAAUGCCGCGUGAGUGAUGAAGGCCUUAGGGUUGUAAAGCUCUUUUACCCGGGAUGAUAAUGACAGUACCGGGAGAAUAAGCUCCGGCUAACUCCGUGCCAGCAGCCGCCGUAA
rnacentral:rRNA from 1 species